rnacentral:lncRNA from 1 species
UAUAGAUUAGAGUCUGGCAGUAAAUGAGAAAAAAAUUUUUUUUUUAAUAUUAUUAUUUUAAUUAGUGUGUGUUUGCAACUUUGAGUAAAUCAAAGUAUAAAGUUUUCCCAAUUAAAACUUUAGAUUUAAAAAAAAAAAAAAAAAAAAGAUAUUGAAGCCUUCGACGCACACCCAUCAUGCGCUGUCAGUACACUUUCCUGAUUCCAGACAUAAAAUAGAUUCAGUUACUAAGGCAUCAGGAUUGCAAAAUGUAAACUGUUCUGUUUCCUAGAAAUGGCACUGUAUUUAUUUGUGUGGUUGCAGUGACCUAUUUCCCCAAAAAUAUGUUUAUCUUUGACAGUUAGAAUUCAGUAUUCAGUAUUUGUUAGAAAAACAAAUAAAAAUUACUAACAAAUAAAAAAAAAAACAUACUUCAGAACAGCUUUGGGAUAGCAAAUUCACCUAAUUCCAGCCCUGAAGUAUUAAGUUUUUUUUUUGUUUGUGCAUGUCCCUGGGGGACAGAUGUGCAUGACAAACUAACUCAACUAUAGUUAUUCUUGUCUGAUUUAUUUCUAGACAAUGGAGAUCGCGAAACAGUUUUUGUCCUAUAAUAAUUAAAUAUAAUUUUUUUUUAAUUUUUUUUUUUAUAGAAGCAAAAGUUUUGAGUACUAGCCAGAUUGGAUACAAUUGACAUCAGACACAUGCUGCUUUGCAAUCAGUAGUGUCUCCGUGUUGAUUAGAUCAAUGACAUUUUCUCAUUGCGACUACAAGGGUUGAUAAUGUUUAUAUGCUAUAUAUAUCCUCGUUAGGGUCCAUCUAUAAAACCAUGUGUCAGUCACUGUGUGAAGCAAUGAGUGACUCUCGAAAUGAACCAUGGAAGCUCCCAAAAGGGGAUAACCUAGCAUUUAAACAUUUUUAUUUUUUUACUAUAAUUAAAAUGUACUUUCUUUAAUGAGGAGCAGAAUAACUUUGAUGCUAAAGUCGAUGUUGUUGUAGAACAUGUGUAUAUACAACAAUCUCUAUACAUUCCCCAACUCUGAAAAUUUAGUUCAACUAUAUGAUUUUAUUUAAUUCUAUAUCUUUGUUCUGUGGGUUGUCAGAUAUACAGCCCUAGAGAAGCUUUCUCAAUAAUGGUCUUCACGUUCGGCAUGAUCAUGCACAUCAUAAUGAGGCCAAGCACGCCAAAUGCUUCUCAUAUUGAAGCACUGGAUUUCGUGCUUCUUCAUGAAACAACAGAUUGACAGAAUGCCGCACUUGCAGUGCCUGCAACAUAGUUCACAAACUCAUUUCAGUGAGAAGGGUUGGAUUGGUCAGAGAUAACCAAAUAUGAUCUCAGAGGAGGCACAGCAGCAGCUAGGAGGAGACUUGUAUGGUGGUGUUUUUAUUACUUUCUUUUUCUUUUCAAAUGGGGGCCAUGAAUAUACACCAAUAAAAAAAAACAAAAAAAAAAACACCUGGGGGUUAAAAAUGAAUAUAUUUAUUAUUUAUAACCUUCUUCUAAUCAAUCUCUAAAAAGCAUUGUAGAGUUCUGCAUUUGUAAUUUAGAGGUAGGACACUUUGACCUGUAGCGAUCUUAUUUACCAUUAUGGAGUAAUGAAGCAACCCUCAAGAUUUUCACAAUCUAUACAUUUGCUAGUAAUUUAGUUGCUGCAAACUGUAGCCUAAAUCAAAUACCUAAGUGAUUUUGUGAUCCACAUGUUUUCGGGAAACAGAACAAUGAAAGUGAAAUCCUAAAACAACCAUUAAGGCUUAAAUUAAUAAAUGAAACUUUUAAGUAUAAGAUACAAUCCUAUAAAAAUGAAUGAAAAUAUAAAACUUCUACCUCAUUCCUGAAUAUGACCCUAAUCUUCAUCGAUAAAACUUCAUAUUUACUGUUUAAACAGUAGUGCAAUAAAUCGGCUGCUCGGUCUUCCCCUUAAAGGUAGAAGCUGGACCGCAGAAGUGGUGGCUCAUCUUUUUGGGUUAUUUUAAAACAGAGGAUUUCCAGCUGCCAACCAAGGGAGACUUGAUAGAAACUGUGACCUUCAAAAGUGUAUGGAAUUCUGCGACAAUAUAAGACUUGUGUUGGCAAAGGUUUAUUUUCACAGUCAUUAAGGAGAUCUCGCUCUCGCUCUCACUCUCUCUCUCUCUCUCUCGCUCUCUCCUGUUUUAUUCAGUUAGGCAGCUUUGGGGAAUAAACAGUCUUUCGAGGUUUGAGUCCAAAACUGGACAUUCCUCUGCAUUUUUAUUUAGUGAGGCUAUUGUUAUGUAUUGAGCACACAAAACAUGUAUCAAUAAAGUACCUUCUUUAGUCCUUCAGGUUUUUUUCAAGAGUGCAAGGCCCACGCCAAAUAAAACACAAAUAUAUAAAGAGAGGGCCUUUGUCUCGACUCUACGUACGUCUCUUUGACAGUUUGACUUUCUCUGCAAGAGGUGACACGUUACUGGCUUUCAUUUUCGGGUAGAUGUGAAAUCUGGACACUUAGUGCAGUUUCAUUAUGAUUGGUGUGAAAAUGUAACAGUUGCUAAUUGCAAAAGAGCAAAUACAUAAAUAUGUUCCUUUGUAGUCAGAGAGGGAGAGAGAAUGGCAUGGAUACUUCUCUUAGGAUGACGGAAGCGUCAAGGACUUUGUUGACUUUCGGUGCAGUCUUGGUCAGAUCUACUAUAGGACCCCCGUGUAUAACUGUCAAUAUUCUGCACCUUCACAUUAAAUCCUACUAUCCAUAUCAUAAAGGCUUUACUGCAUUUUAUCAGCAUAAUUUCUGCUAUUUUUACUCCAAGUCAUUGAGUAUUCACAGUGUAAUUUAAAAGAACUCUAUAGUGUCAGAAAUAGAAACGUGUAUUCCUGACACUGUAGUUUUAAAGACCCUGUUAAAAAGGUGUUAAACUGACCUUAUUACCGCCGCUAUGCAGGUCUCGCCGCAGAGGGCCCCUCCUUUCUCUGUCUCCUCGGCUGAGAAAAUUAAAUUCAUCGAUCUCAGCCAAUGCUUUCCUAUAAGAAAGCAUUGGGAGGCUUUGGCGCAUGCGUGGCAAAAUGCUGCACUGCACUUAUCAGCACCCCCUCAUAGUGAUGCAAUGAAUUUAAGGAUCUCUAUGAGGAACUUUCAGCAUCUUCAUGCUGAAGGUCAGCACUUACCCAGGAAGCACCUCUAGUGGACAUUAGAGGUGUUACCAGGCACCAAUGUGAACACUGCCUUUUCUUACAUUAAAAAUCCUGCAGGGACAGGCUGCAGACACCUAGUGACUAUAGUGUCUCCUUAAGGCUCAUCCAAAAAGGUUGAAUUUGUUUUAAGUCAGUAACAUGUAUUUUAUUGUCUUGCUUUCCUAUUUAUAGAACAAUAAUGAAUAUUUCUGAGCCAGAGAACCAAUUCUUCUGCAAAAUCUAACCAUGCAUGAACUGUUGUGCUCUCUUCUUUCCUUUCCUGAUAAACUUCCUUCCAAAGGGGGUUUCACUGCUUCUCCAAAUCUAGAGCGCUUGAUUUGCACUGAUAUUGAAAUUAUCCAAUGAUGUCAUCAGUAGUUGUACUCUAAUCUCUAUGGUGUAGGCCUAGAGGACCACUUCAAAGGUCUCUCAGGUACCAGUGGAAGCACCCAUACUAUAGGUUUGCCAUCACUGUUUUAGAACUUUUUUGGAAUAUUUUACCAUUCUUUUUGGUUAGUCCAUGUCUAUUACCGUUUGUUUGUUAACAAGGUGGGUCCCAGAGAAGGUUCUUUGCAGAAGAAACCUGGCCACAAUACAUAGACCCAUUUUGUUUUGUUUUUCAUUGAAUACUUUGGCAUGAAUAAGAAACAACCCACCAACCAAUUCACCCAUGCCUAGUUCAUAAUGAAACAUAGCCCUGCUUUGAAAAAACAGUAUCUUAUGAUAAAGUUCACUACCUCAUUUCCGAAUUAUUUCAGGGUGCGUAACUGAUUUUACAUUGAAUAGUAAAAUUACUAACUUUUCGUAGUUCUCAACUCUAGAUUCUUUAAGAUAGGUGCUUGCUAAGUAUCCAAUAAUAUGCAAUUGUAUUUUUAAAUGUACCUCUUAAUCGUUUAUUUUACAUUGUGGUGUGAUAACCACAAAUGCAUAUGUCAGAAGAUUUAAUUGUUAUUUUAUUUUUUUCUUAAUCAAAUGUUUUUAUGAAAUACUGCAGUUGCAGGACAAUAUUGACAACCAUUUUAUUUCUUUGGGCACAAUUCAAGCUAGGCUAAAGUUAAGUCUUAUAAAGGAUUCAUAUGUUUUAAUUUGUACUAGUAUGUAUUAUGUUUAUAAUUGACGAGCCACAGCAUUAAGUCUCUGAGUGAAACGAUUAUUGUAUAAUCUCUCCCCUGCACUCAAGGACUGCAUGAUGGCUAAUUCUUAUGUUUCAGGGAUAUAGGUACACAAUACUUAUGUAUUUUUUGGUGUGAGUUCAUUAAUCAUAAAGUUUAUCUUCCUUUUUUUAAUAAUACUAACCUGUUCACAUAUUAUGAAUAUGAACCUUAGGAGGUAUCCAACCUACCCUGGACUUCUUCAAUGGAAUCCUAUGUAUCAAUUAAUUACACUACCGAUCACAUUGUGGAAAUAAAAGUAAUUUAUUUUGGUACUUAUUGUACAUUAUGGGUGAUAUCAAAUGUGAGAAUCCAACUGGCAGCAGGUAAAAAUUUCCUUCACGUUGUUGUAUUUCCAUCUUUACAGACUGAAUCAUUUCCCCAAAUUGCUUUUUAAUGGAGCCAGACAUGGCUUUAAACCCUCCAUACCUCUUAAUAGGGGUAUAAUGCUCUUUAUUUAUCCUUUCAUCUUUUCAUUUGAGCUACAGCUAAAUCAAUAAACCCUGCAAUGUGCAUGAUACCCAGUUGCCCUGUGUCUUGUCCCAUUUUAUUUCAUAGCAAAAAGAGCAGAAAGUAAUAGCUGUUAUUCCAUGCCUGAAGCAUCCUGUGUCAAAUGUGAAGAUCAAGAAUAUAACAUAGUAGAUAAAGUUAAAAAUAGAUUAAAGUACAUCAAAUUUAAUUUUUAACACUUACCUGCCCCUUUAUUUUAGGCCUCCCGUCUAACAGACGAAUAUGGAUAUAUCUGUUCCAUGAUGAUAAUCAGUAGCCUCAAAUAAUUAUCACUACAACCGUCUACAUGUGUAUUUUUAAUGGCAUGCUUAAAAAAUGUCUUGUUAGUUCCGUUUCCUGUAAAAGAAAAAAAAUAAUAAAAAGGAAUGGCCAUCCAACUGAAAUAUUCAUAAAAUAUAUAUAUAUAUAUAUAUAUAUAUAUAUUUAUUUAUAUAUAUAUAUAUAUAUAUAUAUAUAUAACAAGAUGAAAUUCAGCUCAGUUAGAUUGUUUGAUAAUUGGCUCCUAGGGAGAACUCGGCCAUGAAGAUUCUCAGUGCAGUAGGAAACGGGAGCUAUAUGAGUAUACGGCUGCCUAAUGACGGCCGGAUGAAUUAUUAUAUGAUGGACAUGUAAACUAUGACUCUUAAUGUAGGACUUAGAAGAAAAAAAGACAUUGAUUUAAUUGAUUCUUUCUGUAUUGUGAAUCUAAGUGAUAUGAACACAUUUGUGAUCUGAUUGAUGCAAAGUGGACAGGGGGGCUUAAGAGUUAUACAUUUUCUGAAUUCCAUUGAAUUCUCCCAAGUUGAUGGAACCUUCUUAUUAACUAACACGCAUUAUAUACUAUGUGACAUAUAGUUGUGCAUCUUUAAGUGUAAGCUAUUUUUAAUCAUAGGCAAACAUUUGUAUGCUGUGUAUUUGUGGUUUCAAUGAAUAUUUGGCCUUUUUAAAAAAAAUUUUUUUAUAAAUAAUUCCUUUUACAACAAAGCAAUGAACUACUGCCUCAUUUUGCUAGUAAUGUAAUGAGGAUAUAUUAUCUUUAUUGUUGCCCGAAAAUGCCAAAUGUAGCAUUUUCUCUUUACUUUUUAUUCU